GAUCAUAGCAUAGUGGUUUGAGUGCUGGACUAUGACUCUGGAGACCAGGGUUUGAUUCCCUGCUCA